AUUGAACGCUGGCGGCAUGCUUUACACAUGCAAGUCGAACGGUAACAGGCCGCAAGGUGCUGACGAGUGGCGAACGGGUGAGUAAUGCAUCGGAACGUGCCCAGUCGUGGGGGAUAACGCAGCGAAAGCUGUGCUAAUACCGCAUACGAUCUAUGGACGAAAGCGGGGGACCGUAAGGCCUCGCGCGAUUGGCGCGGCCGAUGUCAGAUUAGGUAGUUGGCGGGGUAAAGGCCCACCAAGCCAACGAUCUGUAGCGGGUCUGCGAUGACGACCAGCCACACGGGGACUGAGACACGGCCCAGACUCCUACGGGGGGCAGCAGGGGGGAAUUUUGGACAAUGGGCGCAAGCCUGAUCCAGCAAUGCCGCGUGCAGGAAGAAGGCCUUCGGGUUGUAAACUGCUUUUGUACGGAACGAAACGGUCUGGGUUAAUACCCUGGGCUAAUGGCGGUACCGUAAGAAUAAGCACCGGCUAACUACGUGCCAGCCGCCGCCGUAAAAC
rnacentral:rRNA from 1 species